rnacentral:lncRNA from 1 species
GACUGACGAUAAGCCUGUACCGCCUGACGCCCGAUCUCCGCACUCUUCUCGGCCAGCGCCGCCUCUGCUCGCUCCAUAAUCUGAGCUUUUGCCUCCAAGACCUUCGCCACAAUCCGGUCAUCCGCCUCGGAGGAGACCCUCAGCAGAUCAGCCUGGGCCUCCUUGUGCUUCGCCUCGGCAGCGAUGCGAGCAGCCUCAGCCUCCUCCAGGCGCGAAUGAAGCUCCUGGUCGCUCGCGCGG